AUCCCCCUGCGGUGUGCGAGAAGGCUCACAAAUUUCCUUGAACCAAUGUGUUCGCUUUGGUUGCAGGUUUUAACAUGUGUGGGUGUGUCGCUCCGGCUUGCCGGAAGCGCCCGAAACACAAGACCCGUGACCCCCUUUGUUCAGGGUUCAAGCGGAUUUUGCCGGAUCGCCACUCGCGGGGGGUUC
rnacentral:other from 2 species